UACGUAGGGGGCAAGCGUUGUCCGGAAUCAUUGGGCGUAAAGAGCGCGUAGGCGGUCCGGUAAGUCCGCUCUGAAAGUCCGGGGCUCAACCCCGGGAGGCGGGCGGAUACUGUCGGGCUAGAGUCCGGAAGAGGCGAGUGGAAUUCCUGGUGUAGCGGUGAAAUGCGUAGAGAUCGGGAAGAACAUCGGUGGCGAAAGCGCUCUACUGGACCGCAACUGACACUCAGGGACGAAAGCUAGGGGAGCGAAUGGG
rnacentral:rRNA from 1 species